rnacentral:rRNA from 1 species
AUUGAACGCUGGCGGCAGGCCUAACACAUGCAAGUCGAGCGGAUGAAGGUAGCUUGCUACCUGAUUCAGCGGCGGACGGGUGAGUAAUGCCUAGGAAUCUGCCUGGUAGUGGGGGACAACGUUUCGAAAGGAGCGCUAAUACCGCAUACGUCCUACGGGAGAAAGUGGGGGAUCUUCGGACCUCACGCUAUCAGAUGAGCCUAGGUACGAUUAGCUAGUUGGUGAGGUAAAGGCUCACCAAGGCGACGAUCGUUAACUGGUCUGAGAGGAUGAUCAGUCACACUGGAACUGAGACACGGUCCAGACUCCUACGGGAGUCAGCAGUGGGGAAUAUUGGACAAUGGGCGAAAGCCUGAUCCAGCCAUGCCGCGUGUGUGAAGAAGGUCUUCGGAUUGUAAAGCACUUUAAGUUGGGAGGAAGGGCAGUAAGUUAAUACCUUGCUGUUUUGACGUUACCGACAGAAUAAGCACCGGCUAACUUCGUGCCAGCCGCCGCCGUAAAAC